UACAGAGGUCUCAAGCGUUGUUCGGAUUCAUUGGGCGUAAAGGGUGCGUAGGCGGCGCUGUAAGUCGGGUGUGAAAUCUUGGAGCUUAACUCCGAAAUUGCAUUCGAUACUGCCGUGCUUGAGGACUGGAGAGGAGACUGGAAUUCAUGGUGUAGCAGUGAAAUGCGUAGAGAUCAUGAGGAAGACCAGUGGCGAAGGCGGGUCUCUGGACAGUUCCUGACACUGAGGCACGAAGGCCAGGGGAGCAAACGGG
rnacentral:rRNA from 1 species